UACGGAGGGUGCAAGCGUUAAUCGGAAUUACUGGGCGUAAAGGGUGCGUAGGUGGUUAAGUAAGUUAUCUGUGAAAUCCCUGGGCUCAACCUGGGCAGGUCAGAUAAAACUGCAUAACUCGAGUAUGGGAGAGGGUAGUGGAAUUUCCGGUGUAGCGGUGAAAUGCGUAGAGAUCGGAAGGAACACCAGUGGCGAAGGCGGCUACCUGGCCUAAUACUGACACUGAGGCACGAAAGCGUGGGGAGCAAACAGGAUUAGAUACCCUGGUAGUCCACGCUGUAAACGAUGUCAACUAGUUGUUGGGUAUAUGAAUAUACUUAGUGACGAAGCAAACGCGAUAAGUUGACCGCCUGGGGAGUACGGUCGCAAGAUUAAA
rnacentral:rRNA from 1 species